rnacentral:rRNA from 1 species
UACCCUAUACAGGAGGAUAGCCUAGGGAACCUGGAUUAACCCUUCAUAGUAUUAUUGGAUGGCAUCAUUUGAUAGUUAAAACUGAGGUGGUAUAGGAUGGGCAUGCGUCUGAUUAGUUAGUUGGCGGGGUAAUGGCCCACCAAGACGAUGAUCAGUAGGGGUUCUGAGAGGAAGAUCCCCCCACACUGGCACUGAGAUACGGGCCAGACUCCUACGGGAGGCAGCAGUAGGGAAUAUUGGUCAAUGGAUGCAAGUCUGAACCAGCCAUGCCGCGUGCAGGAAGAAGGCCUUCUGGGUUGUAAACUGCUUUUGCCAGGGGAUAAAAUUUCCAUGCGUGGAAAACUGAAGGUACCUGGUGAAUAAGCCACGGCUAACUACGUG